rnacentral:rRNA from 1 species
CCUACGGGCGGCAGCAGUGAGGAAUAUUGGUCAAUGGACGAGAGUCUGAACCAGCCAAGUAGCGUGAAGGAUGACUGCCCUAUGGGUUGUAAACUUCUUUUAUAUGGGAAUAAAAUGUUCCACGUGUGGGAUUUUGUAUGUACCAUAUGAAUAAGGAUCGGCUAACUCCGUGCCAGCAGCCGCGGUAAUACGGAGGAUCCGAGCGUUAUCCGGAUUUAUUGGGUUUAAAGGGAGCGUAGGUGGAUUGUUAAGUCAGUUGUGAAAGUUUGCGGCUCAACCGUAAAAUUGCAGUUGAAACUGGCAGUCUUGAGUACAGUAGAGGUGGGCUGAAUUCGUGGUGUAGCGGUGAAAUGCUUAGAUAUCACGAAGAACUCCGAUUGCGAAGGCAGUUCACUGGACUGCAACUGACACUGAGGCUCGAAAGUGUGGGUAUCAAACAGGAUUAGAUACCCUAGUAGUC